rnacentral:lncRNA from 1 species
CCUCGACUGGAUGAAAGGGCAGAGAAGGCAGAGGCAGACGAGCACUCCGGUUCACGCACCAUCCGAGUGGGUCCAAAAAAGGUUUCACUUUGUAGCCCAGAUUGGUCUCAAACUCACAAUCCUUCUGCCUCAGCCUCCCCAGUGGUGGGAUUACAGGCAUGCAACACCACGUCUGGCUCAAUUCCCUCACUUCUUCAAUUUCUCCAUGAGAAAGAGGAAGAGGACACAAAGUGAGGUAGAAUUGGAUACGCAGAGUCAGCUUUACGUGUUUCUUCUCUAUUGUCAUCGUUACUCAUCACAACCAUUAAGAGGCACCUAAUUUCCCAGAGCAAAGCACUUGGACAAAAGCAACUGAAUAUAAAUCUACAGAAUAAAGAGAUUUUUUGAAUAAACAGAUUAGACAAAAAUGUGAGUGGAUAACAUCACAUCCUUGAAAGGCAAAGGAGUUUAAGAGAAGAUAGGCAUGAAGCUCAGACUCUCGGUGUUUCACUUCCCUCUUAACUCCUGCCAUAUGAGGAUGAAGUACAAAGGUUAAAGGAUGUCCAGUGUGGGAUGACGCUGCUUUCCGGUGGUUGUUGAGGUUGAUGCAGUCAUUGAGUACUGUCCAGGUGCCAGACCCCUCCCUCAACAGUGUUCCACGAGGUUCCCAGAGUGCUGCUGUUAGCUGUGAGUGUCCCAUGUCCCCCCUCAAAAUCCUAACUCAUAUUUCCUGCUAUUUACGACCCAUGAAUGGUCUCUCUGCCACAUUAUGCUAACCAUGUCAAAGCUGAACUUGUUACCCUUCCAAACACUCUUCCUUCCCUUCCCCAAGUUCCUGGUUCUGAUCAAACUGCUCGUCUUGCCCCACUCCUGUCCUCUUGCUCC